rnacentral:rRNA from 1 species
GACGGAGGAUGCAAGUGUUAUCCGGAAUCACUGGGCGUAAAGCGUCUGUAGGUGGUCAAAUAAGUCAACUGUUAAGUCUUGAGGCUCAACCUCAAAAUCGCAGUCGAAACUAUUCGACUAGAGUAUAGUAGGGGUAAAGGGAAUUUCCAGUGGAGCGGUGAAAUGCGUAGAGAUCGGAAAGAACACCAACGGCGAAAGCACUCUGCUGGGCCGACACUGACACUGAGAGACGAAAGCUAGGGGAGCGAAUGGGAUUAGAACCGUACCGAC